CAAGCAAAACCGAUUGUAAGCCAUCUUGAAUUGUUAGCGUGAAAAGAAAUAUACUACAUUUAUUGGAUAUUUUAAUAUGAUGAAUAUUCUAGGUAGAGAAUAUGGAUAGUAUUAUCAUUAUUAGUAUUACGUCAACAUUAACUCAACAAUUGUAUUGUUGACAUGAAGAAAAAGCUAUUUCGAGGUUGUUUUGACCAUUGAUUGCUAAUAACACCUGGCGCCGUGACCUGGAUGCAGAUUCUAAGCAGAUGGGCCAAAAUGGGGGCAGCUAGAGAGACUCGCCUGGAACUGACAAGCCUGGAGGGAGCUGGUUGACUGUUGGCGAGAUGGGACAACAGACGAAGAAUAAACGAACCUACUUGAUUUGAUAAACAUUUUUAUGUUUUUCAGUUUCGUCGGAAGACAUUUCCCACCAACCAUCCUGUCUUGAAAGAAAUAACUUUUGAACCCGAUUAUCUGAUAUUUUCCAGUUUCCCCUCACAACAAUUUGCAUCAAACCUCUUGUCUGCUCCUCAGCUGAAAUCAUCAUCUAGCACUCACAAUAGUUGAGCGGUUGGAGAGGCAUGCAUUGCGUCCUACUACUGCUCAGACUAUAUUAUGUUUGGCAGACAAAACAUGCUGAUCAAAAAGAAUGUGUACCACAGGGGCCAGUGUUUCCAUUUGAGUGAUUGACAAGAAGAAGAGAUGAGAAAUGUUAUCAUCAUAUUUUAGUCCCUACAUUUAUAGUGUACAGCUCAAUGUAUUGAACCGGUGUUGUAGAAUAUAAUUGGAGAUACAUGCGAACAUUAUAACAUUAUAUAUAAGAUGAUAUUUCAAAAGCAAUACGAAAUAAAAAGUAUAAAAAGGUCAAAACAGUAAACCUUGUGUUUACAGUGGACAGGUUUAAAGUGGAAGUGACUAGUUAAUUGUUGAUCAUAAGCUGCACUGAUGGAAAAAAUAGUGGGAAAUUACUAUCUAGAAAACUGUUUAACGUACGACAACAGUUGUGGAACUUCAUAAAUGACCGUAUGUAACAGGGCUGGGCAGUUUUCCUUAUAUAGCUAUAGUGAAACCUUUUGAACACUAGUGAAGUCACUGUUUUUUUUCCAAUCUUCAUGCAUUUUGGUCGAAUAUUUGUUCAAAUGAUGGCUCAGUCCAGUUUCGAAAUUUUUAUGUCUAUUCAAAAAACAUAUCCACUAGAGCACGAGGCAAUUGUCUUUAUAUGGCUAUAAUGAAACCUUGUAAAUUCUCUAGAAGUGACAUUUUUAGCCAUAUCUCCAUAAAUUUUGGUCAGAAUAUUUAUUCUAAUGAUAGCUCAGUUGUCGAGUUUGUAACUGGUUCCGGUUUGUAGACUAACAUGGCUGCCAGUGGACAUGACAGUUUUUCUUAAUGUGCUAGAGUAGAACCUUGUUAACACACAAUUGGCCCUUUUUAUGUGCAUUUUUCAUGAAAGAUGAUCAGAGCAUUUGGCCCAAUGUAAUCUCAGCUGACUUUGAAACUGGAUCACAUAACGUCAAAAAGUGGGUCAAAAUGUCAAAUUAAAAAAAGCUUGUAAACACUGGAAGUUGCAUUUAAAAUUGUGUUCCUUUUUUAUGUCCCCCACUAUAGUAGUGGGGGACAUAUUGUUUUUGCCCUGUCUGUUGGUUGGUCUGUUGGUUGGUUGGUUUGCGCCAACUUUAACAUUUGCAAUAACUUUUUCAAUAUUGAAGAUAGGAACUUGAUAUUUUGCAUGCAUAUGUAUCUCAUGGAGCUGCACAUUUUGAGUGGUGAAAGGUCAAGGUCAUCCUUCAAGGUCAAAGGACAAAUAUAUGGGUCAAAAUCGCUCAUUUAAUGUACACUUUUGCAGUAUUUCAAUAUUCAAGAUAGCAACUUGAUAUUUGGCAUGCAUGUGUAUCUCAUUGAGCUGCACAUUUUUAGUGGUGAAAGGUCAAGGUCAUCCUUCAAGGUCAAAUAUAUGGGUCAAAAUUGAUCAUGUAAUGUCACUUCUUCAAUAUUGAAGCUAGCAAUUUUAUAUUUGAAAUGCAUGUGUAUCUCAUGGAGCUGCACAUUUUGAGUGGUGAAGGGUCAAGGUCAUCCUACAAGGUCAAACGUCAUAUAGGGGGACAUUGUGUUUCACAAACACAUCUUGUUUAAAGUUUGUCAAAACAUUUGCUGUAAUGAUAAGCAAAGUCAAGUUUAUAAAUAAUAAUUUGUCUACAAAUUACAUAUUUUUCAUUAAGUUCAUUUAUUAUUCUAAACUACACCCUCUCAGAAUAGUUUAGUUACUUCUGGUCACAGUUGAGCACCUUAGGGCUCUUGUUCUAUAAUUUGAUUGUUUUGGAAAAUUGUCAUUUUGUCAAAAUGUGAGCAAGUCCAAAUUUAAUUAACCCUGCUUUGUAGUAUCUUGUUUUCCUUAUAUGUAAAAAGUGGAAAAUUAUCUAUGAAUCUGACUGCAUAGAUAUUUGGUAUUCAGCAAAGCAUCAUGUAAAUGUAGUAAAACUAAACACAAUUGUGUUAGCAUAAAACUGGCCAUGCCAUGGGGGUCAAAUGGUUAAUACAGACUUGUAGGAAAAAGACUUCUAAAAAUUUUAUCAGUUAAAUAUAUUUUGUGUACAUAAUGAUUAGCUUUUUCCUUCAACUUAUC